rnacentral:rRNA from 1 species
CGCCAGAUUAAAACUCAAAGGAAUUGACGGGGACCCGCACAAAGCGGUGGAUGAUGUGGAUUAAUUCGAUGCAACGCGAAAAANCCUUACCUACCCUUGACAUGUACGGAAGCCACGAGAGAUCGAGGCGUGCUCGAAAGAGAGCCGUAACACAGGUGCUGCAUGGCUGUCGUCAGCUCGUGUCGUGAGAUGUUGGGUUAAGUCCCGCAACGAGCGCAACCCUUGUCAUUAGUUGCUACGAAAGAGCACUCUAAUGAGACUGCCGGUGACAAACCGGAGGAAGGUGGGGAUGACGUCAAGUCCUCAUGGCCCUUAUGGGUAGGGCUUCACACGUCAUACAAUGGUACAUACAGAGGGCCGCCAACCCGCGAGGGGGAGCUAAUCCCAGAAAGUGUAUCGUAGUCCGGAUUGUAGUCUGCAACUCGACUACAUGAAGUUGGAAUCGCUAGUAAUCGCGGAUCAG